rnacentral:rRNA from 1 species
UACGUAGGGACCGAGCGUUGUCCGGAAUCAUUGGGCGUAAAGAGCGUGUAGGCGGCCUGUUAAGUUUUGCGUGAAAUCUCGGGGCUCAACCCCGAGCGGUCGUGAGAAACUGGCAGGCUAGAGUGCGGGAGAGGAGAGUGGAAUUCCUGGUGUAGCGGUGAAAUGCGCAGAUAUCAGGAAGAACACCCGUGGCGAAGGCGGCUCUCUGGGCAUUAACUGACGCUGAGGAGCGAAAGCAUGGGGAGCGAACAGG